ACAAAAUAUUUAAUUAGUAGUAAUGUUGGGCUAUGCUUUAAACAGUUAAACAGUGUGGAAGCUGCUAUUAGAAAUCGACGAAACCCUUAACCCUAAAUUGUUACAACUACUAUAAAAUCACAGAUGUUUUCGUUGCUAGGGAAAAGAGGAAUCUCUUUCUACAAAGAAUUGAAGAGAAUCUCUAUUCAGAAGUUUCUCUCUUUCACUUUACUUCCGAAGCAGAUGAUGAGUUACUCGGAUUCCCCUUCUAGACAUCAUGGGUGAUGCAAAAACCGAGUUUCUGAUGCAGUGUAUAUGGAUGGGACUUUGCAUUUUCCUUUCUGACUCACUAUUUAUUGAGUUCUUACAUUUGUUUCAUGUUCAAACUGGUGCUGUAUUUCUGAAAUUGUUUCUUCUUUGACUUUACUUAAAAAGCACAUGAUGAGUUACUCGGAUUCCCCUUCAAGAUAUCAUGGGUGAUGCAAAAAUCGAGUUUCUGACGCACUAUUUUAUUCAUGGGAUGUUUGGAGUUUUUACAUCAUUUGCUGUUUGUUUUUUCUUCAAGUGUGGAUGCAAUUCAAAAAUAUUGGCAGGUGCGUGUCAGGUUCUCCAAAAGUAGUGUAUUUUUGGAGAAUCUGGCACGGGAUCUACAUCGAAAGUGGAGAGCGCAACUUAGGAUGGAAGACUAUUAAUUCUUUUCAGCUUUAUAGUAACAAUAACUAUAGGGACAAGGAAUUAUGGCUAUGUUAAUACAUUUCGUUUCAAUAUUUCAUUGAAUCGACACUAGAUUGUUAUCUAGUUUGUUGUUACAUCUUCGGUAUCAACUUUCAUUUGCUGCUUUGACCUGCUAUAUUUGCCAUACCAGUAAGUAGUUGUCUAUCUGUUUGUCUGGUAGAGCUGAAACUUUUGUAAUGCUUAAGCAGAAAAGAAGUUCAUCAUUUGAUUCUUUUGGGAUCUUCACAACGGAAUCUUUCCAGUGGAUCCAUGAAAUGUGUAUUUUGGAUUAACCCUUUCACGGGCAAAGAUUUUAGCUCUCAAUGCAUCACACUUCUUAAAAGUUGGAGGGCAUUUUGACAUAUCAAUUAAGGCAAACUACAUAGCUUAAACCGUGCCUGCUGAGGCUGUAGAAGGUACAAGUGGAGCAGCUUAAACCUAGGGAGCAAGUCACCCUCGAACCUAAUGAAAGAGACCAUGCUUGUGUUGUAGAUGCCUAUCGAUCAGGUGCCCAAGAAGCAAAAGGUUGCUGCCUAGUUGCUAGUUUUCUUAUUGAUGUGGUCAGGUUUUCUAGUGAGGAGGUUACUUAUGUUUUAUUUAAAGCAUUACCAAUGUUACUGUGAUUUGACAGAAGGUCUUAAUUUUUUCUUGUUAAAGUAUUUUCAUGUUACAGUGAUUUGAUCUGUGUCUCAAUGUUUGACGAAAGAUGAUAAUACUGAUGGUGGUUGGUUGGUGCAAGUUGUAAAAAGUAAGAAGUUAAAGAUUUUUAUAUGGAAAAAAUACUUUCAUUUCUAA